GUCUGAACAGAGUAGAUCUGGAUUCUGCUUAGCAAGCUGGCCUGUGAGAAGAGAUACUCUGCAUUUCUGCUCAGAUUCAGAUGGCACAAUAAUGGGGAUCCAUCCUAAAAGAGGACCAGGCUGAUGAGACACAUGUGAUUUCGUCAAGUUCACACAAUUGACACCAAAAUCAAGAAUAUCUGAGAAAAUAAGUGAUUUGUUCAAAAGGCAUGUUCAGAAGAAACAAACAAAUUCUAAAAUCUGCUGAAGGAGAUACACACAAGGAACAGAAAGAAGAAAAAGGAAAAAGAGAGAAAGAAAAAGAAACACAGAGAGAAUGUAAAGAAAAAAAGAAACAAAGAGAGAAUUUUUCCCUUGAGGUUCUUUGCAUUUCCUAUGCUCUUUCAACAUAGUAUUUUAUGCUCAAACUUCCCUACUCUGACAAGCAACUGGGCAGUUUGAGCAAUGAUUAAAUCUGAAUCAAAGUGUUGUGAUUCUCAGAUUUACAGAGAGAGCUUCAUGCCAUCUUCUCCUUAGAUACACAAAAAUACUAGUUUCAAUUCCUUUACAACUUUCAUCAGUCAAGCAGACAAACACUGUAUAAAGCAAGCACUGUUCUGGUUCCUGUGCGUUCAUGAUGAGAAGACCCCUUACUUCAAAUAAAUAAUUGAGGACAAAUAUAUAAAUAGUACAUACAAAUCAAAACUAUUAUGGAUGAAGUAGAAAUGGGACCCCCAGAGUCAUUAUACUCACUUUAAGUUCACCCCACCUGAUUCUACCAGAGUGGUCUAAGAUGAAUCUCCCUGGAACCCACGGGGCUCCUCACAACAUUAUUUCAAAGAAACAAAUUAAAUAAAUCCUCUUCAUACUAGAGAAAAUGAACAAAGUCCACAAAUGGGAAAGGAACUAUCAAAAGCUACACGGCCACCAUCCUCGGGUCCUCUGCAAUUUGAAAUGAAGAUAAUUAUAUAUACAUGAAACUUCUAAAGACUGGCAGCAUGCCAUCUUUCUCUUUUGAACAUCCAUAUCACUUAUCACAUUGUUUUGGCCAUAAGUGGACAGGAACAAUUAAUUACAUUUGGAAUGAUAAUAAGUGAGAACAAAUAGAUGGUAAAACUAGAGAACUGAUUACAACACCAAUAGCUGCAGAGAAGGAAGACAAGUAGAUCUGAAAGGGAGAAGUAAACUUUAGGGAAGAUUUCAUUUAUUUUGUUAGAAUUUAUUAAGAAGCCAUUAGUGCUAGGAACUGGAAAGGAAUCUAGUCUUCAGAAAGGCUAGAUAAUUUAAUAAAAACACUUAAUAAUAAUGCCUAUUAUAUUUGUGGAGCCUAAUAUGUUCUAGCAACUGUGCUGGCACUUUAUAGGCUAAGAAAUUUAAUUCUCAUCAUACCAAUACAAGCAGUAUGGUCAACUUCAUUUGUACAGAUUAAGAAUUUGAGAUUGAAAGGAAUAAAGUGACUUACCUAAGACUAAAAAUUUAAGAAGUAAAAGACACAGUGCUGUAAGCCUGAUCACCUUCCAUCACACCUAGGAUUUUCAUCAUAUGAUGGAUUUAAAGUUAAUGAAAACAAGCCAACGGUGAAUUCUUAUCCUAGUUCAGCCACACAUUUUAGGGUGAAAUAGGACACAUCAUGGAACUGUGUUGAACACUGAAAUGGGAUUCCUGAGCUUCUCCUGAGCCACUGCCUCUCCAAGCACUAGCCAAGACAAAAACAUUCACCUGGUUACUUUCUUCCCAAUGACUCCUUGCUGGCUAUCAUAGAGGAGGAAAGAAGAGGGGCUAGGGAUAUGGAUCAUCAUUCCUGGGACAAACUUGGCAGGCUCACCUGUGACCCAGCUUCAUAGGUGACUCAGCACCAAUGCUCACUCAAAAAGCAGGGCAGCAGAGCUGGGACUUACUGCAUUUGACAAAGGAAUGAUCAGUGAAUAGACACUGGCUAGUGGAAGGGGAUGGAGAGUUUCCUGUGUAUACUGAUGAGUAAAGGACAUGGUGAGAAGUGGACAGAUCCAGAUUAUAUUGUGGAGGUGCAACUCACCAGGCCUUAUGAAUGCAGUGGUUUUCCAAGGAUGGUUGCUCCAGCAGCACCAGUAGCAUUGCCUACGAUCUUGUUAGAAAUGUGAAUUCUCAGGCCCCACCCCAGAGUUGCUGAACCAGAGACCCUGGAUUGGGGCCCAGCAAUCUAUAAUUUAAAGGCCCUCCAGGUGUAACCCGAAUCAUGAUCAAGUUUGAUCCUACUGUGCUAAUGAUUGGUCUGGAGUUGAGAAUUCUGUUGGGCCUGUUGGAGAUACCAGUGUCACAUGCAGUGUGCUAGGUUAACUGGGCAGUGGAAUAUGUGAGUCUGGAACUAGGGAUAGAUCAGAUCUGUUGACUUUCUUUGGAGGAUCAUUCAGAUCAGGUGCUAUUCAUCCAAAGUGGCAAAACUCCACAGACUAGCAUAGUCCUGUGUUGGCCCAGGAUAAGUGCUCUGUAAAUGCCACUGAGUCAGCCUAUCCUGCUGCCUCCAGGAAUGUGAGAUCAUUGCUUAAGGAACAAGUGUUCUUUCGGUUAAUAUUUAUUUGCUCAUCUGAGAAAACCGCUGCUGUGGGAAAACAGGUUUCAUAAUGUAGUCCACUUGAAGAUUUUAUACAGCUCAAUACCAAUGCUAACUCCUUUCCAUGCUUUCUGCUGAGGUCAGCAUUGUUUGGCUUAACUUACCCAUCCCCAAGUCCCAGAGCUCCCAGCUGCCCUGUGCCUUGCUCCUGACUAGGCACAGCCCCAGUGUCACUUCUGAAGCCCACUCUCAGAGGAGCCUGCUGAGCCUGCCAGAGUAUUGGCUGAGGAGGAAAAAGGAGGACAGAAGGGAGGAAAGGACAAAGUGAGGAAGGAAGGGUGGAAAGGACUGAGACACAUGACAAAACUGUAAAGUAAGACGGGUUAAUGUGAGUGCUAGAAUAAAUAUUCCCAUAGAGCAUGCAGGGCUGGGGGAGCCUGAUUCAUUUGCUCUGGGGACUUUGAGAAAGUUUGAGAGAAGUGGCAUUUCCUCUGGGAAUUUCUUGAAAUGUGAGUAGGAUUUACAGAAAUAUGAGUAGGAUUUACAGAUUCAGAAUGUGGAAUGAGGCAUCUACACAGGAAGAACCCCAGAGGAAUGGAAGUUCAUGAAUUAGGAACUUCUCCAUGGUUAAAGGACAGAGUGAAGGAAAGGAUUAGUAUCAGGCUUCCUCUGAUAUCCCCUUCAUGGAAGUUCAACAGAAGUCCAGUUUCUCCAUUAGGUCUCUUUUGACUUCCAGGGUGAAUCAUCUUUGUUAAUGCUGAAGGAGAGAUGCAACUUCUUCAGAGGAAGAAGGAUGUACAGAUCUCACUAGGCAUUCCCAGGGUUAAAUCUCAUGGUCGUAUUUCUUAAAGAGACUCACUUAACAUCCUCCACCCAUUUUCACUGAAAACCACGCCACAGAAACACGGAGACAACCCAACCUAAGUCACCCUCAGAGAGUGGAAGUCAAAGUAGGGACUAAGGCAGUGCAGGGAAGACAAAAGAAAGCAUAAUGCUGGCCCACACAGUCAGCCCACCAGGCACAGUUAUGUUCCCAGCAAGGACAACAUCAUCGCCUUGACAAAGCUGCUCCAGGAGUAACUGGGAUGGUGGACUUUCGCAACUCCCAAUUUGCCACCCACCCUUCUCCUCUAGCUUCUCAGAGCGGCUGUCAUCAUCUCAGUGUGGUGACUCCAUCCUCAAUCCCAUAGCUCCCAUCCCCCAACUGAGGCGGGAUAGAAAGAAAGUGGCAACUAAGUAAAAUGAAAACCAGUGCGCGCCAUCCUCCCAGUCCCCGCCAUCCUCCCAGUCCCCACCCGCUAGGAUUCCUCUGCACCCUCAGUCCUCUGGCCACCAGCAGCCGCCACUAACUUUGACGCGGUAGACUCAGCUAUCAAAGGCUUUCCUGAGCUCCAGGUCCUGAAGUUAAACCGGAGACCGGGGAAAGAAAAUCUCAACAAAGCAGCAAGACGCCAAAGACACCUUAAAGUCAACAAGUACUUUUAAAUAAUGCGUCUGUAAAUGCCAACCCUGACCCCCA